GGCAGCAUUGCCUAGUGGCUAGGGCACUGAAUUACAAUUCAGGAGCCCAUGGUUCAAUUCCUGGCUUUGCCA
rnacentral:tRNA from 1 species